GACGAACGCUGGCGGCGUGCUUAACACAUGCCAGUCGAACGGAUAGGCCCUGCUUUUGUGGGGUGCUCGAGUGGCGAACGGGUGAGUAACACGUGAGUAACCUGCCCUUGACUUUGGGAUAACUUCAGGAAACUGGGGCUAAUACCGGAUAGGAGCUCCUGCUGCAUGGUGGGGGUUGGAAAGUUUCGGCGGUUGGGGAUGGACUCGCGGCUUAUCAGCUUGUUGGUGGGGUAGUGGCUUACCAAGGCUUUGACGGGUAGCCGGCCUGAGAGGGUGACCGGCCACAUUGGGACUGAGAUACGGCCCAGACUCCUACGGGAGGCAGCAGUGGGGAAUCUUACACAAUGGGCGGAAGCCUGAUGCAGCAACGCCGCGUGCGGGAUGCCGGCCUUCGGGUUGUAAACCGCUUUCGCCUGUGACGAAGCGUGAGUGACGGUAAUGGGUAAAGAAGCACCGGCUAACUACGUG
rnacentral:rRNA from 1 species